rnacentral:rRNA from 1 species
CAGUAGGGAAUAUUGGACAAUGGGCGAAAGCCUGAUCCAGCAAUGCCGCGUGAGCGAUGAAGGCCUUAGGGUUGUAAAGCUCUUUUACCCGGGAUGAUAAUGACAGUACCGGGAGAAUAAGCCCCGGCUAACUCCGUGCCAGCAGCCGCGGUAAUACGGAGGGGGCUAGCGUUGUUCGGAAUUACUGGGCGUAAAGCGCACGUAGGCGGCGAUCUAAGUCAGAGGUGAAAGCCCGGGGCUCAACCCCGGAACUGCCUUUGAGACUGGAUUGCUAGAAUCAUGGAGAGGUGAGUGGAAUUCCGAGUGUAGAGGUGAAAUUCGUAGAUAUUCGGAAGAACACCAGUGGCGAAGGCGGCUCACUGGACAUGUAUUGACGCUGAGGUGCGAAAGCGUGGGGAGCAAACAGGAUUAGA